AGAGUUUGAUCCUGGCUCAGGAUGAACGCUAGCUACAGGCUUAACACAUGCAAGUCGAGGGGCAGCAUGGUCUUAGCUUGCUAAGGCCGAUGGCGACCGGCGCACGGGUGAGUAACACGUAUCCAACCUGCCGUCUACUCUUGGCCAGCCUUCUGAAAGGAAGAUUAAUCCAGGAUGGCAUCAUGAGUUCACAUGUCCGCAUGAUUAAAGGUAUUUUCCGGUAGACGAUGGGGAUGCGUUCCAUUAGAUAGUAGGCGGGGUAACGGCCCACCUAGUCAACGAUGGAUAGGGGUUCUGAGAGGAAGGUCCCCCACAUUGGAACUGAGACACGGUCCAAACUCCUACGGGAGGCAGCAGUGAGGAAUAUUGGUCAAUGGGCGAUGGCCUGAACCAGCCAAGUAGCGUGAAGGAUGACUGCCCUAUGGGUUGUAAACUUCUUUUAUAAAGGAAUAAAGUCGGGUAUGCAUACCCGUUUGCAUGUACUUUAUGAAUAAGGAUCGGCUAACUCCGUGCCAGCAGCCGCGGUAAUACGGAGGAUCCGAGCGUUAUCCGGAUUUAUUGGGUUUAAAGGGAGCGUAGAUGGAUGUUUAAGUCAGUUGUGAAAGUUUGCGGCUCAACCGUAAAAUUGCAGUUGAUACUGGAUGUCUUGAGUGCAGUUGAGGCAGGCGGAAUUCGUGGUGUAGCGGUGAAAUGCUUAGAUAUCACGAAGAACUCCGAUUGCGAAGGCAGCUUACUGGAUUGUAACUGACGCUGAUGCUCGAAAGUGUGGGUAUCAAACAGGAUUAGAUACCCUGGUAGUCCACACAGUAAACGAUGAAUACUCGCUGUUGGCGAUAUACAGUCAGCGGCCAAGCGAAAGCAUUAAGUAUUCCACCUGGGGAGUACGCCGGCAACGGUGAAACUCAAAGGAAUUGACGGGGGCCC
rnacentral:rRNA from 1 species